AUUGAACGCUGGCGGCAGGCCUAACACAUGCAAGUCGAGCGGAUGAAGGGAGCUUGCUCCUGGAUUCAGCGGCGGACGGGUGAGUAAUGCCUAGGAAUCUGCCUGGUAGUGGGGGAUAACGUCCGGAAACGGGCGCUAAUACCGCAUACGUCCUGAGGGAGAAAGUGGGGGAUCUUCGGACCUCACGCUAUCAGAUGAGCCUAGGUCGGAUUAGCUAGUUGGUGGGGUAAAGGCCUACCAAGGCGACGAUCCGUAACUGGUCUGAGAGGAUGAUCAGUCACACUGGAACUGAGACACGGUCCAGACUCCUACGGGAGGCAGCAGUGGGGAAUAUUGGACAAUGGGCGAAAGCCUGAUCCAGCCAUGCCGCGUGAGUGAAGAAGGUCUUCGGAUUGUAAAGCACUUUAAGUUGGGAAGAAGAGCAGUAAGUUAAUACGUUGCUGUUUUGACGUUACCAACAGAAUAAGCACCGGCUAACUUCGUG
rnacentral:rRNA from 1 species